rnacentral:tRNA from 1 species
UGGCUCUGUGGCGCAAUGGAUAGCGCAUUGGACUUCUAAUUCAAAGGUUGUGGGUUCGAGUCCCACAGAGUCAA